rnacentral:lncRNA from 1 species
AACCAUACCAUUGAAUAAGCUACGUGGGAGUCAGAAAAGGAUGUGAGACUCAAGUACCCUCACUUGAUCCAGUCUGCAGGUUUGCACUUAUUUUAAAUUAGGGGAUCGAAUUUCUUAAGGUAGGGAGAAUGUAAUACCCCACAUUAUUAUUGAAAUAAAAAAAAGGAAUUUUUAAAGGGAGUAAUUAUAUAUAGGAUAAGGAAGUGGCCCAUUCUUUUUCCCACUAUAAUUUUUAU